ACCACGCAGUACCGCGACCACAUUUUACAGGUAAGCCCAUGCCUGGUGGUUCCCUUGCCCCACGGUCCCCUACCAACACAGGUUGCCAUCAACUUACCGCGGUACCACUAGUUCGAACGUAGGCAGGACUCGCCGCGGUGGUACCAUUUCAACGGUUUUUUCGCCAGCAAGAUUUGAAUUUUUUCUUCAACGAAUGUCGGCUUUGUGACGGAUCUUGCGUGCCCCAUCCGGACGACUAAUCGACCGUAAUUGGUGUGUGCUGUGUGUGAAAUUUGGUGUGAAUACGGUGUGAAUUUCCAAUGUAAAUCCCUGGGAAAGUUGACCGAUGCCGAAAGAAUUGGAAUGCAAAAGUUAAGCACGACUUUCAUCCGACACGAAGCAACUGCCGCUCUUUAGGCUGCUCCCAAAUAUUUAGGAGUGUGAGUGAGAUUGAGGUCAAACGCACACGCUUUCUUGCUACCUAACCUCGAUUCUUUCGAUGGAAUCUGUGGUUUUCACACAUCAAGAUCUGGUAGAUUGGUUGAUUUCCCAUCGGCAAUUGAUUGCGGAAUUCCACUAUUAAAUUCCUGCUACUGAGCAAAUGAUGCUGAAAACCAUCUAAGACUCACAGUGGAUGCAUGUAAUUAUCCACACAGAUUUGUACCAAUUAAUCGCUCCACAACAUUCCAACUGAUUGAUUUAUCAUAGCAAAUUACCGUUAGGUAUUGUAAUGUUACAUAAGUACGUGCUGAUAUGAUUAAAUGGAUUUAUGCAAAUUAUCGAA